AGAGCCUGAGCAAAGCUGUGAAGUCUGGAGGAUAACUGUUAGCUUUCCUACAUCCUGCAAGGAUGGUGGGUUAGCUCCUGAGUCUGACAUAUUGCUGGUCCUGUUGGAGGACUUCUGAGAAUAUUCAAGAGAUUCCAGGUGAACACCCUCCACUUUCGGAUGACUUAAUUUUUCAGGUUGGAUGGCAGGUUUAAGAUUGACUGAAAAUGAAAAUUUUUAAGGUAAGUGGCCAAGUUGUCC
rnacentral:lncRNA from 1 species